CGUAGGCGAUGGGAACCACGUUAAUAUUCGUGGGCCAGAUGGAAGUGACGGAUCUCGAAGAUUGUUCCUCCUUAUCGGAUUGGAGGGGCCGUUCAGAGGUUCCUGGAAAUAGCUCCAUCAUCAGACCGUACCCUAAACCGACACAGGUGGACUGGUAGAGAAUACCAAGGCGCUUGAGAGAACUCGGGUGAAGGAACUAGGCAAAAUGGUACCGUAACUUCGGGAGAAG
rnacentral:rRNA from 1 species